GUCGGGUGUGGUGACGAAUGCCUGUUAUCCCGUAGGCUUGGGAGGCUGAGGCAGGAGGAUCACAAGUUCUGAGGCAGCCUCAGCAACUUAGAGAGGCCCUAAGCAACUUAGUGACAUCCUGUCUCAA
rnacentral:sRNA from 1 species